GAAUUGACGGGGACCCGCACAAGCGGUGGAGCAUGUGGUUUAAUUCGAAGCAAUGCGAAGAACCUUACCAGGUCUUGACAUCCCGCUGACCGGUCCGUAACGGGGCCUUUCCUUCGGGGCAGCGGAGACAGGUGGUGCAUGGUUGUCGUCAGCUCGUGUCGUGAGAUGUUGGGUUAAGUCCCGCAACGAGCGCAACCCUUAUCCUUAGUAGCCAGCACGUAGAGGUGGGCACUCUGGGGAGACUGCCAGGGACAACUUGGAGGAAGGUGGGGAUGACGUCAAAUCAUCAUGCCCCUUAUGAUCUGGGCUACACACGUGCUACAAUGGCGGCCACAAAGGGAAGCGACCCUGUGAAGGUGAGCGAAUCCCAAAAAAGCCGUCCCAGUUCGGAUUGUAGUCUGCAACCCGACUCCACGAAGCUGGAUUCGCUAGUAAUCGCGCAUCAGCCAUGGCGCGGUGAAUACGUUCCCGGGUCUUGUACACACCG
rnacentral:rRNA from 1 species